rnacentral:tRNA from 2 species
AGCCCCGUCGUCUAGCGGCCAAGGACUCCAGGCUUUGAACCUGGAUACAUCGGUUCGAAUCCGAUCGGGGCUA